ensembl:lncRNA
UAUGUGUAUAGAUCUUUUAAUCUUAUGUGUUUUGUAGAAAUAGAAAGCAGUCACUGACAUUUUAUCACAUUUAACAGGCUAAAUUAUCCCCAUAUAUUUCACAUUACAUGCGUAGUUUAUGUGUUCCUUUAGAAUUUUUAAAUGAAGUUGAGCCAGGUGUAGUUGUACAUGCUUCUGACCCCAGCUCUUGGGAAGCUGAGGCAGGAGGAUUACUAGGACAGCCUGAACUACAAGGCAAGACUCAAAAAAACCAAAAAGAAAAAAAUAGUUGAUUCUUUUAAACACUUAGGAAAUACUUUAAUUCUUUUUUUUGGUGUUACUUGGAAUUGAACAUAGGACUUUGCACUGAGCUACAUCCCUACCCAUUUUUUAUUUUGAGACAGGGUCUCACUAAGUUGGGCAGGCAGGGCUUGAACUCGCAGUUUUCCUCAUCCUCCUGAGGAGCUGGGAUCACACACCCCUGCACCUGAACAACUCUUGGAAAUCAGGGUCCUAGUCAGAGUAAGGAAGCCUGAAAACUUAUUGAGAGUCACUGGACCAAUGAAUUAGCUGUUAAGGAACUGAAAAUGCAAAUUGUAAAAUUCACUGGACCAGGUGAUUGUCUCAGGGAAGCCCUUGUGGAGAAUAAAAAGACAAAUUUGAUUGUUUUUUGUUUUUUUGGUACCUGAGAUCAAACUUGGGACCUUGUGCUCAUGAGGCAGGUGGCGGCACCACUGAGCUAAAUCCCUGACCCCAAAAAGACAACUUUGAAACCAAAGCCAUUGCUUCAAAACUUGGUAAUGUAGAAAAUAAACCACACAAUUGAAAAGUUCUGUAAAAACAGUAUCACAGACUCAGAAGACCACCAAAAUCUUGAAAUACGGUAUUUUAUUAAUUUCUCUGCACCAGCAGCAGAGUGCUCAAGUUUGGAAACUUGAGUCAUUCCAAACCCUUUGUUUGUACAUAGAAUAGCUCAUUGUUGCUGGCUGUAAUUGAUACUGUAAUGAGCCAUCUGCAUUCCUUUUUUGGAACAAAAGAUUGUUUUUUCUCCAGCUAUGAGAGAAUUACCAGGAAGCAGUCCUCAUCUGUUUAUUCCCUAGGACAGUCUUAGGAAACUAAUAUAACCCCCCUUUCAGAAUCUGCUCCUGUUUACCUUCCUUUUGGCUAUCAGGUCAAAAACAAGGGAUAGGUCAUAAAAUAACUUGGCCAAAUCCAUGUUGUUACUGAGAGAAGAAAGGAGCUGUACACAUAACAAGUUCAGGACUACCCAUAUCUACUCACAGGAGCUAGGAUAAUAUGCUUGGAACUGGAUUCUGAGAGUGAUGAAGUGAUGCAGAACAUGUAUUCUGGGAGGCUGAGGCAGGAGAAUCACAAGUUUACGCUCAUCGUGGCUAACCUAGUGACUUAUGAGACCUUGUCUUAAAAAAAUUUUUAAAGAUCAGUGCAAAGGCCCUGGGUUCAAUCCCCAUUAACCCCCCUCCAAAAAAAAGUAGUGCAGAAUUGGGUAGGUGUUUAUAUAUUUGAAGGCAGUCAGUUCUGACAUGCUGGAAUUUUAACCCCGUGGCAGGAAACCAAGAGCUGGUGUGAGAACACUGCAUCCACAAAGCAACGGCCCAUGCAGUGUCACCUGUGAAUGUUGAAAAUCUGCAGUAUGUGAUGGCACAAAGGAUGAAGAACUUGGAAAAUUGAGUGGGCAUGCUUGGAUGGGUGUGCUGCAUGAGGCCAGGAAACAGUAGAUGAUGAAAAUUAAAGCAACAAGGAAUGCCCUAGUGAGAAAACCAUCACUUAAUUGGUGGAGAAUCAGAAACUCUUGAGCUGGACAUAGUGGUGCACACUGCAAUCCCAACACUUGAGUGGCUGAGGCAGGAGAAUCAAAGUUUGAGCUCAGCCAGAGCAACUUAGAAGAACAAUUGUUGGGAUACCUCAUGGAGAAACCAAAGAUGCAGUACAUUCAAAAACUGUCCUGAAUAGGUGGG